GAGACUCCUCUUUCUUUCUUUCCCCUAUCAUCUCCUCACUUUUGUCAAAGAAAUGAAAAUGACUCAAUUGAUACACCUAAUUAAAAAUUGUGCUUCACCAAUUGGUCUAUUGUAAAUAAAUAAAUAGCCACCUUUUAAGGUUCAAAUCUUCAUUUUCUGAUUCAUUACAUAAGAGAGAAUAGGGAAAGAGAGAGACUUCGGAGGUAUGAAAGAGAUAAUAAUGUUCUCCUUAUCUCCAAGAAGUUAUUUGUAGAAAUUUUAUUGCAUCAACAAACCAAUAAUUUUCUUUUUUGGAAGAAAGAUUCAAGAAAUUCUAUUUCUGGAUCGGCCAGCUAACACAUAUGGAAACCCCACUUGUUUUUCCUUGCCAAGAUUGAAAUCUCACAUGCGAAUUUUCAAAUCCCAGUGAGUUAAGUUGGUGGUUGGCCUCUCUUCAUUUCAAUCACAAACGUUUAUUAUAUUUUCCGGCAAAAAUUGAGAGAAAAUUGAUAUCCAGCCCUGUUAACUCUGGAGAAGAGAAAAUAAGAGCUUUGGAAGAUGGCAGGAGGAGCCCUAGCGCCGGCCGGUGUGGCCAAGGAGAGAGCAGAGCAAUAUCAAGGGAGAGUUACCUUAUCUGUGAUCAUUGCUUGUGUUGUUGCUGCUGUUGGGGGGUCAAUCUUUGGAUAUGAUAUUGGAAUUUCAGGAGGAGUGACAUCAAUGGAUGAAUUUCUUCGGAAAUUUUUCCAUAGGGUAUAUUUAAGGAAGCAACAUGCACAUGAAAACAAUUACUGCAAGUAUGAUGACCAAGGGCUGGCAGCUUUUACCUCUUCUCUAUACCUCGCUGGUCUGGCUGCAUCUCUGAUGGCAGGUCCUGUUACUAGAAUAUAUGGACGACGUGCGAGUAUAAUUUGCGGAGGCAUUAGCUUUCUUAUUGGAGCAGCACUAAAUGCCGGAGCUAUUAACCUGGCAAUGCUUCUCUUAGGCAGGAUUAUGCUGGGUAUUGGCAUUGGAUUUGGAAAUCAGGCUGUUCCAGUAUACUUAUCAGAGAUGGCACCGACUCACCUUCGUGGAGGACUAAACAUUAUGUUUCAGCUAGCAACUACCACUGGGAUCUUUACAGCAAACAUGGUCAAUUAUGGAACACAAAAGCUUAGACCAUGGGGAUGGAGGCUUUCUCUGGGACUAGCAGCAGUCCCAGCUCUAUUGAUGACUGUGGGAGGGAUAUUUCUGCCUGAGACACCGAACAGUUUAAUCGAACAGGGGUUUAAUGAGAGAGGGAGGAAAAUAUUAGAGAAGAUCAGAGGAACCAAAAAUGUCGAUGCAGAAUUUGAGGACAUGCUAGAUGCUAGUGAGCUGGCUAAAUCAAUCAAGCAUCCCUUCAGAAACAUCCUGGAAAGGAGGAACAGACCACAAUUGGUUAUGGCAAUCUUCAUGCCAACAUUCCAGAUCUUAACAGGCAUAAAUUCAAUUCUCUUCUAUGCUCCAGUGCUGUUCCAGAGCAUGGGAUUUGGAGGAAAUGCUUCCCUCUACUCCUCAGCUCUGACUGGAGCAGUGCUCUGUUCCUCUACCUUCAUCUCUAUAUUAACAGUUGACAGAUUGGGUAGAAGAUUUUUGCUUAUCAGUGGCGGGAUACAGAUGAUUACAUGCCAGGUAAUAGUGGCUAUAAUCUUGGGGCUGAAAUUUGGAGACAACCAGCAGCUAUCAAAAGGCUUCUCAGUGUUGGUUGUGGUUGUGAUUUGCCUCUUUGUGGUAGCUUUCGGAUGGUCGUGGGGUCCGCUUGGCUGGACGGUGCCAAGUGAAAUAUUUCCACUCGAAACACGAUCAGCUGGGCAGAGCAUAACAGUUGCUGUAAACCUUCUCUUCACUUUCAUCAUAGCACAGUCUUUCCUUUCCCUCCUUUGUUCAUUGAAGUUUGGGAUCUUCCUCUUCUUUUCUGGUUGGAUUACUGUCAUGACCAUCUUUGUUUACUUAUUCCUGCCUGAAACCAAUGGAGUUCCCAUCGAAGAGAUGAUAUUUCUCUGGAGAAAGCACUGGUUCUGGAAGAGAAUAGUGCCUGGGGAUCCAGCAGAAGUUGAUGACAGCAGGCAAAGACAUUACAUGGAAUUGGGUGAAGGUGUUACUAGCACAGCUAUAUAGCCGAUGGACUGAUACAAUAAGCAAUUCAGCUCUGGAGAUAUUUCAAUAUUUACACAUCUGCUUUUCACUUCACAACUCACAACUGAUGUACCCAGAUAGCUGAUGCGUCAAGAAAGUGUCUGAAAGGGCCUCAGCCAUGUAUAUUAAUGGUUCCAUCAACAAAAACUUCCGUAAGUUUGAAAUAUACUGUAGAGUUCCAACUUCCAGACGCUAGCUCGCCUGCAUUCACAUGACAAGUAAUCAAUACUGAAUAACAAAAAUAACCAGUAAAUACCAACCAUGACCUCCAGCCCAAAUGGUAGAUGGGCAUUCCAAAACCAUUAUGGCUAUGCUGUCCAUGGAAUUCCCAUACCUCACCAUCUCUGGGCAUUAAGAUUACAAUGUUUGAGACUAGGGAAGAAAAUAAGGAGAAGAGAGAAUUCCAGCAUCAAGCAUUACUCACAAAUUCACAAUGUGAAGGCAGAGGAAAUUGGAAAAUUGAGAAGCGCACUAAUAAAAUUUCCAGGUCGAUUCCAUGGAUCCUAAAAAUUUUGUGGAAUUCAUUUUCAAUUUGCUUCUCUACGGUCUUCCAGUCGGGUCCCCGUUGAGCCGUGGAUCCCAAAUCAGGAUCUGCAUUCUUUUCUAUCUUCAGCCUCGGCUUCCCAUUUUCCCUCAAAUUCAAAUUGGUGUCUGCUUGUUGUUAAAUGCAAUUAAAUUAUAAGCUGGCUUAUAUGAAUAUGCCUAAUUC
rnacentral:misc_RNA from 1 species